rnacentral:rRNA from 1 species
UACGAAGGGGGCUAGCGUUGCUCGGAAUCACUGGGCGUAAAGCGCACGUAGGCGGACUCUUAAGUCGGUGGUGAAAUCCUGGAGCUCAACUCCAGAACUGCCUUCGAUACUGGGAGUCUCGAGUCCGAGAGAGGUGAGUGGAACUGCGAAGUGUAGAGGUGAAAUUCGUAGAUAUUCGCAAGAACACCAGUGGCGGAAGGCGGCUCACUGGCUCGGUACUGACGCUG